UGGAGAGUUUGAUCCUGGCUCAGGACGAACGCUGGCGGCGUGCCUAAUACAUGCAAGUCGAGCGAGCUGAAUUCAAAGAUCCCUUCGGGGUGAUUUGUUGGACGCUAGCGGCGGAUGGGUGAGUAACACGUGGGCAAUCUGCCCUAAAGACUGGGAUACCACUUGGAAACAGGUGCUAAUACCGGAUAACAACAUGAAUCGCAUGAUUCAAGUUUGAAAGGCGGCGNAAGCUGUCACUUUAGGAUGAGCCCGCGGCGCAUUAGCUAGUUGGUGGGGUAAAGGCCUACCAAGGCAAUGAUGCGUAGCCGAGUUGAGAGACUGAUCGGCCACAUUGGGACUGAGACACGGCCCAAACUCCUACGGGAGGCAGCAGUAGGGAAUCUUCCACAAUGGACGAAAGUCUGAUGGAGCAACGCCGCGUGAGUGAAGAAGGUUUUCGGAUCGUAAAGCUCUGUUGUUGGUGAAGAAGGAUAGAGGCAGUAACUGGUCUUUAUUUGACGGUAAUCAACCAGAAAGUCACGGCUAACUACGUGCCAGCAGCCGCGGUA
rnacentral:rRNA from 1 species